UCCUGUCUCAGUGAGCUGUUAUGUGUACACCUGCAGGCUUCUGUAGUUUUGCCCUGUUUUAAAAUGGCACCUGCCCUCUCUCAGCUGGAUCACAGUUUCUGUUUUGGAGUGAUUCGUUGGAAUUGGACAACCCUCUACACUUCCACUAGGACCACUGACAACUGCCAGCAACUACCAGGACCCUGGACUCCAGUCUGGACACACACCAUAUUCUCUCUCUGCUCUAACCUCAUGGCCUAUAAGGUUUCUGAUUCGAAAUCAACUGUCCAUCUAAUUGGAGAUCCUCUGAAGGCAAUAUGGCAUUUCUCUCAGAUCUUGCUGCUGCUGAGUGUGGGCACCAGAAGAUCAUGGAAAAACUCCACCUUGAGACUCCGACCAACACUGCUUGGCACCCAGUGCUUACCUCAUCAAUGAACAUGUACUCCCAUUUUGCCACUACUCAAGCUCUAUGGAGAAGUUCCACAGCCACCAUAGCCUUCAGAAUGAAAUUAGAAAUGCUAAGGGGCCACUGUCAUCACCAAGCCAAAGAAUAAAGAACCUAUUACAUUUUGUCUUUUGGAUAACAGCCAUUCUGACAGGGGGUAAGUGGUAUCUCAUUAUGGUUUCAAUUUGCAUUUCCCUGAUGGGUAGUGACUUGUGCAUUUUUUCAUAUAUUUCUUGGCCAUUCUUUUUCUUUUGAGAACUGUAUGUUGAGGUCCUUUGCUCUUUACUUCCUUGGAUUUAAAAAAAAAUGAUUUAUUUUUUUGAAAGAGUCAUAGAGUGAGAGACAGAAGAGAGACAGAGACAGAGAGAGAUCUUCCAUCUGCUAAUUCACUCCCCACAUGGCUACAGUGGAUGG